CAGUCGCCGCGGUAAUACGUAGGUGGCAAGCGUUGUCCGGAAUUAUUGGGCGUAAAGGGCUCGCAGGCGGUUUCUUAAGUCUGAUGUGAAAGCCCCCGGCUCAACCGGGGAGGGUCAUUGGAAACUGGGAAACCUGAGUGCAGAAGAGGAGAGUGGAAUUCCACGUGUAGCGGUGAAAUGCGUAGAGAUGUGGAGGAACACCAGUGGCGAAGGCGACUCUCUGGUCUGUAACUGACGCUGAGGAGCGAAAGCGUGGGGAGCGAACAGGAUUAGAUACCCCAGUAGUCCCUGUCUCUUAUAC
rnacentral:rRNA from 1 species